AGAUUGAACGCUGGCGGCAUGCCUAACACAUGCAAGUCGAACGGGAGUAGCAAUACUCUAGUGGCGGACGGGUGAGGAAUACGUAGGAAUUUGCCCUUAAGUGGGGGAUAACCCGGGGAAACCCGGAUUAAUACCGCAUGACCUCGAAAGAGCAAAGUGGGGGAUCGCAAGACCUCACGCUUUUGGAGAAGCCUACGUCGGAUUAGCUAGUUGGUGAGGUAAUGGCUCACCAAGGCGACGAUCCGUAACUGGUCUGAGAGGAUGAUCAGUCACACCGGAACUGAGACACGGUCCGGACUCCUACGGGAGGCAGCAGUGGGGAAUAUUGGACAAUGGGCGCAAGCCUGAUCCAGCAAUGCCGCGUGUGUGAAGAAGGCCGUUCGGUUGUAAA
rnacentral:rRNA from 1 species